UUAACCGGUCGUCCUGUUCAAAGUUAACGUUUAAAAGCAAAAAAGCUAAAGCGAAAAGUUUAAAAGCAAAAGAACGUUAUUAUUUUUCACAUUAAACUUUUCGAUUGGGUUUCAAAAACAGAACAAUAUAGAGUAUCGUGUAAAGUUCAAGGCAGUUAAACCUUAACAUACAAAAAAAUUAAGCAUAAUCAUAAAUGGUUCUUUCAAUUAAGUUAUCAUAGUGGAAGAAAAACAGUAAAUGUUACUUUUCAAAAAAACGUAUAUAGAAAAAGUUCUUCGUGUAAUGGUAAAAAAUAUUAAAGAUGCACUUUGAAUACCAUUGGUUGUAAAGUAAGAACUACCACACUUAAUGGUCUAUACUUAAUGUCUUCCUCUUUUUAUAAUCACGAACCAAAUAGUGCAGGAGUACGAAAAAAUGACUUUAUCCAAGAAUUAGAGACGCUGGUUAAAGAUCUCCAACAAAACCAAUGCAAAAGUUAUGAACGAUCUUUCAUAAUUUUACUUCAAGAAAAUGAAAUGGAAAAUGAAGUUUUGUGCUUUUUAAUUGAUUGUGAAUUAGCAGUUUUGAAUCUGCAUUAAGUUUAAUUUUUACUGGAGUGACAAUAAUGUUUUUUAUUUAUUUUGAGCUGGCAGUAUGAAAAAGGCACAAAGUUUAGGUUUAACAAGAUUUUAUGACAACCAAGUAAAAAAGCUUUUUCAUUUUCUUGCUUACCACUUGAAGACCCUAAUAGUUAUGAAGAACUUUUCGAACAGAUUAUUUACAAUGCACCUUAUAUAACGAGCAUUGCAGAUUUUUGUUUUUAUAAUAUUGGCUCUCUACAAUUGCUAUUUUUCCUCAUAGUAUAUGGAGUCAUUUUGAAAAUGAUGGUCCCAGAACUACAAAGCAUUUUGAAGGUUGAUAUCUUGGUCAAUAAUGAAGUAAAUUUGGCACGGAUCAGUAAUGGGUUGUUUUUUUUUUCAUACUAUUGAUCACUUAAUGUUCACAUUGGCUUGUGAACAAUGUGAAGUAUAAUAAUACUUGUAAAAUGUACAAAUGUACCUUACUUUAAAGAUAUUUUUAUUUAGAUGCAGUUACCUGAUGUUUUUAAAUAAAAAUACACAAUGCACAAAGAUAGAAUUUAGACCGUUUGAAAGUUGCACCAUAUUAAUUGGAUCGUGGAAAAUGCAUCAAAUCAAAAUGAGUCUUAUAACAGAAGGCGAUAAAAAUACAUAUGAAUUUGAUAUUGAUGAUGAAGAUAACGAUAUCAUGACUUUAUCAAGAUCGUUUUAAAAAUUACUUUAAUUUUGUAUAAGUUAUUGUUCUAAAAAUGUAUAAAAUA
rnacentral:lncRNA from 1 species